rnacentral:rRNA from 1 species
AGAGUUUGAUCAUGGCUCAGAGCGAACGCUGGCGGCAUGCCUAACACAUGCAAGUCGCACGGUUCGGGGGCAACUCCGGGCAGUGGCGGACGGGUGAGGAACGCGUAGGGAUCUAUCCAUGGGUGGGGGACAACCGCGGGAAACUGCGGCUAAUACCGCAUGACGAGCGUGUCCUGACGGGCACGUUCCAAAGGCCGAAAGGUCGCCUGUGGCGGAGCCUGCGUCCGAUUAGCUAGUUGGUGGGGUAACGGCUUACCAAGGCUCCGAUCGGUAGCUGGUCUGAGAGGAUGAUCAGCCACACUGGGACUGAGACACGGCCCAGACUCCUACGGGAGGCAGCAGUGGGGAAUAUUGGACAAUGGGCGCAAGCCUGAUCCAGCAAUGCCGCGUGGGUGAAGAAGGUCUUCGGAUUGUAAAGCCCUUUCGGCGGGGACGAUGAUGACGGUACCCGCAGAAGAAGCCCCGGCUAACUUCGUGCCAGCAGCCGCGGUAAUACGAAGGGGGCUAGCGUUGCUCGGAAUGACUGGGCGUAAAGGGCGCGUAGGCGGAUCGGAUAGUCAGGCGUGAAAUUCCUGGGCUCAACCUGGGGGCUGCGCUUGAUACGUCUGGUCUGGAGUGGGGAAGAGGGUCGUGGAAUUCCCAGUGUAGAGGUGAAAUUCGUAGAUAUUGGGAAGAACACCGGUGGCGAAGGCGGCGACCUGGUCCUUGACUGACGCUGAGGCGCGAAAGCGUGGGGAGCAAACAGGAUUAGAUACCCCCGUAGUCC